rnacentral:tRNA from 1 species
UCCCCAGUGGCUCAGAGGUUAAAGCGUCUGCCUGCAAUGUGGGAGACCUGGGUUCGAUCCCUGGGUUGGGAA